rnacentral:misc_RNA from 1 species
GAUGAGAACGCAGCGAAAUGCGAUAAGUAAUGUGAAUUGCAGAAUUCCGUGAAUCAUCGAAUCUUUGAACGCACAUUGCGCCCCCUGGCAUUCCGGGGGGCAUGCCUGUCCGAGCGUCAUUUCUGCCCUCCAGCCCGGCUGGGUGUUGGGCGCUGUCCCCCCGGGGACACGCCCCAAAGGCAGUGGCGGCGCCGCGUCGGGUCCUCGAGCGUAUGGGGCUUUGUCACCCGCUCGGGACGGACUCGUCGGCGCUGGUCUUCCUCCAGGCGACCCUUCGGGGCUCGUCUUCCUUCGGUUGACCUCGGAUCAGGUAGGGUUACCCGCUGAACUUAAGCAUAUCAAUAAGCGGAGGA